rnacentral:misc_RNA from 1 species
GUGAAUAAACUUGUGUGGGUUGUUGCUGGCUUCCUUGGAAGUAUGUGCACACCUGCCAUUGUUUCAUUCCCCUUCCACCUGUGCACAUUUUGUAGACCAAGCCGUCGCUUUCGGGUUGCUUGCAAUCCCGGUGAUGAGGAUUUGCUCCGGCUGUCCUUGGACGGGUGUGGUCUAUGUCUUUAUCAACUCUGUAUGUUACUGAAUGUUUGUUCUGGGUUUUGAACCCAUAAAAUCCUAUA